rnacentral:tRNA from 1 species
AAGUUUGAAGCGAAAAAUCGCAUUUAGUUUCGACCUAAAAAUUGGUACAUAAAAUACCCAAACUUA